rnacentral:rRNA from 1 species
UACGUAGGGCGCAAGCGUUGUCCGGAAUUAUUGGGCGUAAAGAGCUCGUAGGCGGUCUGUCGCGCUGCCAUGAAAACCCGAGGCUUAACCUCGUGGCUUGCGGUGGAUACGGGCAGACUAGAGGUAGGUAGGGGAGAAUGGAAUUCCCGGUGUAGCGGUGAAAUGCGCAGAUAUCGGGAGGAACACCGGUGGCGAAGGCGGUUCUCUGGGCCUUACCUG